rnacentral:rRNA from 1 species
UACGUAGGGCGCAAGCGUUGUCCGGAAUUAUUGGGCGUAAAGAGCUCGUAGGCGGUUUGUCGCGUCUGCUGUGAAAACCUAAGGCUCAACCUUGGGCUUGCAGUGGGUACGGGCAGACUAGAGUGGCGGUAGGGGUGACUGGAAUUCCUGGUGUAGCGGUGGAAUGCGCAGAUAUCAGGAAGAACACCCGUGGCGGAAGGCGGC